CUCUCUCUCUCUCUCUCUCCCCCUGCGCCCCCUGCGCCCCUCUCACCCAGGCGGAAGGGGCUGCUCACAGGCAGGAGCCAGCCGGGCUCAUGGACACGUGGAAGAAAAACCAGGACUUUGAGACUGAAGCAGCACAAGGGGAAAGGGGGCACUGUGGAAACAUUGGCUAUCCCGGAAACAGAGUCCAAUGUGAUCUCCAAAGACACCGGAUCCUCUGUCAGCAAAAGCAAAUAGUGAAUACAGGAGCCAGUUGGCCAGCCUGCAUCACUAAAGUGGCCUCACAACAAAAGUGGAUCUGUGAUAGGAACAGGUGCUGCAGAGAACCGAUCUAUAAACGCCUUUUAUAACAGAGGUCACCGGGAAAGGAUUUAAGAACACAGGAACAGCCACAUGCUGCGGCAGGAGGAGGACUUUGUCAGCCCCUCAGUAAAGUCGCCCAGAGCCGGACGUACACAGCUUUCUGCUGAUCUUUACCCCUGCCGAAGGCAGCUUUCUGGUCUCUUGCUCCCUCCUUGUGUCCGUGCCUCUCAAUCGCCUUCUCCCAGGACCCUUGAGGUCCCCAACCCAGCGUUUCCAUCCUGAGUGUUCCCACCCAGGCCUCUCUUCCAGCUGCCUCACAACGACUCCUCUGAAACUCACUGAGCGAACAUCAAUUCACCGUGAAACUGCUCCCGCUCGGGCGCCUAGGUUCUGCUGGAAGUGGAAGCAUGUGCUGCAUUACUCCCUGCCUGGCCACCCAGCGCCGCGGGUUCGCACUGGCAGCCCGGUGGCAUGAUUCACUCCUGUUUGUUUAAUUAGUUAAACCAAAUUAAAAUGUAUUUGGGGCUGGGA